GGAAUAUUGCACAAUGGGGGAAACCCUGAUGCAGCGACGCCGCGUGGGUGACGAAGUAUUUCGGUAUGUAAAGACCUAUCAGCAGGGAAGAAGAUGACAGUACCUGACCAAGAAGCCCCGGCUAACUACGUGCCAGCAGCCGCGGUAAUACGUCGGGGGCAAGCGUUAUCCGGAUUUACUGGGUGUAAAGGGAGCGUAGGUGGCAUGGAAAGCCAGAAGUGAAAACCCGGGGCUUAACCCCGCGGAUUGCUUGUGAAACUGUCAGGCUGGAGUGCAGGAGGGGCAGGCGGAAUUCCUGGUGUAGCGGUGAAAUGCGUAGAUAUCAGGAGGAACACCGGUGGCGAAGGCGGCCUGCUGGACUGUAACUGACACUGAGGCUCGAAAGCGUGGGGAGCAA
rnacentral:rRNA from 1 species